UUGACGAUGGUCCAGGGGAUUCCGCGUUCCAAGGCGCGGGUCUGGAAGAUCGCGUCGGAUUCCACCUUCGAUGCUUCGUAGGCGCCGAG
rnacentral:tRNA from 1 species